AUUUAUUUUCAGUUCUAUACAGUUCUGUAUUUUGUUAAAGAACAUGACAUUAUUUCUCAAAGCAGAUUUGUCACUUUAAUGUGGGUUUGCAUAUUUUUAAGACUCCCAAAGGGGACAUAUCUACUUAAGGUCAUGUGCCUGGAGUGAAAAGUGGGUAAACCUGCUUGCAGCCUACAUAGCCAAUUUCUUCUGAGGGAUGCUAUUGAGCUCCUGGUGCUUCAACUACCAAGAUCUCCAUCAGUGCUGUACGAUACUGAGAAGUGGAGGAUCCUGUUUGAGUCUCCAUAAAUGGCCUCCUACAGGUGGGACUUGUGAUGGUUGCUGGGACUGGACAAACAUUGACAGUGGAGCUCUGACUUUUGUCAUUCUCAGGCUUUUCCAUAAGACAAAAUAAUACAAGUGAUUUGUAUGGUGUCUUGGAUUGCACUCUAUUUCAAUGAAAUUUCAACACUGGCAUAAGUACUAUAUUGUAAUACUCCGACAUGACUGGUUAAAUGGGG